UACGGACUGUGCAAACGUUAUUCGGAAUCACUGGGCUUAAAGAGUCCGUAGGCGGCUUGUUAGGUGAGGUGUGAAAUCCCUCGGCCCAACCGAGGAAUUGCGCUUCAAACCGGCAAGCUAGAGGAGGAUAGAGGUGGGCGGAACUGAUGGUGGAGCGGUGAAAUGCGUUGAUAUCAUCAGGAACACCGGAGGCGAAGGCGGUCCACUGGGUCCUAUCUGACGCUGAGGGACGAAAGCUAGGGGAGCGAACGGG
rnacentral:rRNA from 1 species